UCCACAGUCAAAAGUGAUGUAUAUUCCUUUGGGGUGGUUCUGUUUGAACUUCUUACAGGACAGAGAGCCAUUGCAGACAGCCAAAAUGAUAGUGGUCAAGAAUCACCUCUAAGUUUAGCUACAUCUCCAGUGACUUUGAGAACGCUCAAGAAGACUCCAAGACCAUUGAAGAUUAACCAGAUAAGAAAUUGGGUAGAUCCAAAUCUUUACACUUCUUAUCCAGAAAGCAUCUUUUGCAAGACUGCUGAGAUUGCACAGAGAUGUUUAGAUGAGAAUCCUUCCAGGAGGCCUAACGUGAGAGAGAUAGUAUACAGUUUAUCCCGUAUUUUGUUGGAAUCCAUUGAAUGGGAUGGUGCUCUUGCAGGAGGAAGUCAGGUCUUUAGUGGUCUCAGACACGGGAGAUGAUGACUAAAUUCCUUUGUAGAAAAUGUUUUGGGUGCUUCACAGUAGGAACCAUUCUGUCAUAAAUGUGUCAUUAUUAUCAUGUAAUCUGGUUUCUAUCUUCAAUAUUCAAAGAAUUAGUAUAUAAGAUUUAUAUUCCUCCUCUACAGGAAGUGAAGAAUAGAUAGAUGGGCCAAGCCUGAAAAUUGUCAGUGCAUCAAUAAGCCAGAUUUUUUUUAAGCUUCCGUGACUGAGGGACAAACAGAAAAUACAAAUAUACAGUUAGUGCACCAAUAAACUGAUUUUAAUAAACUCUUGUGAUC